rnacentral:rRNA from 1 species
CCGGCCGUCUAUCUGAAUGUCAUAACGACUCUCGGCAACGGAUAUCUCGGCUCUCGCAUCGAUGAAGAACGUAGCGAAAUGCGAUACUUGGUGUGAAUUGCAGAAUCCCGUGAACCAUCGAGUCUUUGAACGCAAGUUGCGCCCGAAGCCGUCAGGCCGAGGGCACGUCUGCCUGGGCGUCACGCAUCGCGUCGCCCCCCCUCCCCUCGCACUGCGC